rnacentral:rRNA from 1 species
GACGAACGCUGGCGGCGUGCUUAACACAUGCAAGUCGAACGAAGUGGCGAACGGGUGAGUAACGCGUAAUCAACCUGCCCUUCAGAGGGGGAUAACAGUUGGAAACGACUGCUAAUACCGCAUAUGGAAGGAGGGGAUUGCGUCUGAUUAGCUGGUUGGAGGGGUAAGGGGCCACAAAGGCGAUGAUCAGUAGCCGGGCGGGGAGGGUGGACGGCCAACAUGGGACUGGAACACGGCCCCAGACUCUACGGGAGGCAGCAAGGGGGAAAGUUCGGCAAUGGGCGAAAGGCUGACGGAGCAACGCCGGGUGAGUGGUGACGGCCUUCGGGUUGUAAAGCUCUGUUAAUCGGGACGCGGUACCGGAAUAGAAAGCCACGGCUAACUACGUGCCAGCCGCCGCGGUAAUAC